GACGAACGCUGGCGGCGUGCUUAACACAUGCAAGUCGAACGGAAAGGCCCUGCUUUUGUGGGGUGCUCGAGUGGCGAACGGGUGAGUAACACGUGAGUAACCUGCCCUUGACUUUGGGAUAACUUCAGGAAACUGGGGCUAAUACCGGAUAGGAGCUCCUGCUGCAUGGUGGGGGUUGGAAAGUUUCGGCGGUUGGGGAUGGACUCGCGGCUCAUCAGCUUGUUGGUGGGGUAGUGGCUUACCAAGGCUUUGACGGGUAGCCGGCCUGGGAGGGUGACCGGCCACAUUGGGACUGAGAUACGGCACAGACUCCUACGGGAGGCAGCAGUGGGGAAUAUUGCACAAUGGGCGGAAGCCUGAUGCAGCAACGCCGCGUGCGGGAUGACGGCCUUCGGGUUGUAAACCGCUUUCGCCUGUGACGAAGCGUGAGUGACGGUAAUGGGUAAAGAAGCACCGGCUAACUACGUG
rnacentral:rRNA from 1 species